rnacentral:lncRNA from 1 species
GACCUCUCAAACCAACCCCCAUUUACUACAGAAAGGGCCCUUGGGACUCCUGCACUUAGCAUUGUGAGUGGCAAUGCGGGUUGUCCAAGCUGUGUGGUGGUCCGGGCAGUGUGGUGGUCCAGGCAUGAUGAGUGGUCCAGGUAGGGUGGUGGUGAGUGGUCAGGGCAGUGUGGUGGUCUAAGCAGUGUGUGGCCUAGGUAGGGUGAGUGCUCCAGGCAGUGUGGUGGUCUGGGCAGGGUGAGUAGUCUAGGCAGUGUGGUGAUCCGGGCAGUGUGAGUGCUCCAGGCAGUGUGGUGGUCUGGGCAGGGUGAGUAGUCUAGGCAGUGUGGUGAUCCGGGCAGUGUGGUGGUCCGGGCAGGGUGAGUGGUCCGGACAGUGUGGUGGUUCGGGCAGUGUGAGUGCUCCAGGCAGUGUGGUGGUCUGGGCAGGGUGAGUAGUCUAGGCAGUGUGGUGAUCCGGGCAGUGUGAGUGCUCCAGGCAGUGUGGUGGUCCGGGUAGGGUGGUAGUCUUAACAGGGUGAGUGGUCCGGGCAGUGUGGUGGUCCGGGCAGUGUGGUGGUCCGGGCAGGGUGAGUGGUCCGGACAGUGUGGUGGUUCGGGCAGUGUGGUGGUCUGGGCAGUGUGGUGGUCCAGGCAGGGUGAGUGGUCCGGGCAGUGUGGUGGUCCGGGCAGUGUGGUGGUCUGCGUAGGGUGUUGGUCCCAGUAGGGUGGUGAGCCUGGCAGGGUGAGUGAUCUGAACAGUGUUUCGUCUGGGGCAGAGGUAAAGGUGCUGGCAGAGACAUCAAGCUCCGUCCAUUUUCCCGGCAGUGCUGUUGAGUGUGGCUGGAGGAUCCGAGGGUGUGGUCUGAGCGACCUCAGUGGGGCCUUGAUUGCUGGGUGUUGUCCAGAAACCCGCCGCUCCUCCCACUGGCCUUGACCUUGGCUGGGCUGGGGGUUGCUGGGCGGCAGGGGCAGGCAGCCACCUCUGCACACAGGGCCACCCUCGCCACUGCUCUCCCCAUUGGAUUCUGCAGAGCCGGGGACUUCACGGCCCUGACCGCUGCCCUGUAUCUCGGUGACGUGAUGUGCUCGUGUUGGUUUUUCCUGUCUUUUUUUAGACUUAAUCAGAAAUAAGGUAGAAGGUCAGAGUCCACAGCAAAGAGGCACAGAGGGGAACGGCAGCUCCUUGGGUCCCACGGGGCUGUGCCUGCUCCUUGGUGGGGACACUGGAGGCCCAGAGUGGCACAGACCCUGUCUUCACUGAGGGGAGAAAGAGGCAGCCCCGGGGCAUGAGAGCCACCCCUGCUGAUGCUGCCCCGGGCCCACAAGGGCCAAGCUCCAGGAACAUGGAAGUCCUGCCCUGGGCAGCACAGCCUCCAGAUUCCAAGAACCCAGCCUGGCACCCCAGGCUGGGCACAGCAAGGAGAGAGACUUCGACACUCUGCAUUAAGAUGGUAGCUCGUGGCCGGCGCGGUGGCUCAUCCCUGUAAUCCCAGCACUUUGGGAGGCCGAGGCGGGUGGAUCACAAGGUCAGGAAUCAAGACCAUCUGGUUAACACCAUGAAACCCUGUCUCUUAAAAAUAUGAAAACUUAGCCGGGCGUGGUGGCAGGCGCCUGUAGUCCCAGCUACUGGGGGGAGGCCGAGGCAGGAGAAUGGCGUGAACCUGGGAGGCGGAGCUUGCAGUGAGCCGAGAUCACAUCACUGCACUCCAGCCUGCGCCACAGAGCAAAACUCCGUCACACACACACAAAAAAAUGGUAGCUCCUGAGCCAACACUUUUCCGCUCCCCCACCCGCUGCGUCUCAGCAUUCCUUAGGCUCUCCCCUUGGGAGACUCACAUGUAUGGGGCGGGGGAGCGGGGGUUUCCUAGGCCCUGACUCAGCUAGAGCGUCUGGCUGACCCGUCAUUGUCCAGGGAAGCCAUGGAUCUGGUGGCCGCAGCCCAGCGCCGUCCUCACCACCCAGGCCUGCCUGGAGCCCAGUGGCUGUCAGGGCAGCCGAGACCAGAAGCGCAGGUGGAGCCAAGGCCCCGCUGCAGUCCGCAGAGUUGCAACUCUGGGAGCUGAGCCCUCACAAGCCUUGCUUUUCACCUCCUCCCAGUGCUACCAGCCAGACCCCGAGGGCCCGGGACCCUCCAUGUACCCAUCCACACUUCUCGGCCCACCCCUCCCUGACAGCCCCGGCACCCCGGGAGGGAGCAGGACUGCAGUGUGAGAAGGCAGCACCGCCCCGGCGCCCGCGAGGAAGCCGAACUGCUCAUAAGUUAAGCAGCCCCAGCCAGGUCACGGGGCAAGGAAGCCGCCUGCGACCUCGGAAACCCCUGGUUCAUCCCAUGACCCACCCCCGUUCAUCCGGUGACCCACCCCUCACCCCGGUUCAUCCCGUGACCCACCCCCCCGUUCAUCCCAUGACCCAGCCCCCCACCCCGGUUCAUCCCAUGACCCAGCCCCCCACCCCGGUUCAUCCCAUGACCCACCCCCCACCCCGGUUCAUCCCGUGACCCACCCCCCGUUCAUCCCAUGACCCAGCCCCCCACCCCGGUUUAUCCCGUGACCCACCCCCUGUUCAUCCCGUGACCCACCCCCCGUUCAUCCCGUGACCCAGCCCCCAACCCCGUUCAUCCCGUGACCCACCCCCAACCCCGGUUUAGCCCGUGACCCACCCCCCCCCCGUUCAUCCCGUGACCCACCCCCCGGUUCAUCCCGUGACCCAGCCCCCAACCCCGUUCAUCCCGUGACCCAGACCCCACCCUGGUUUAUCCCAUGACCCACCCACGGUUCAUCCUGUGACCCGCCCCCCGUUCAUCCCGUGACCCACCCCCCACCCCUGGUUUAUCCCGUGACCCACCCCCGGGUCAUCCUGUGACCCAGACCCCACCCUGGUUUAUCCCAUGACCCGCCCACGGUUCAUCCUGUGACCCGCCCCCCGUUCAUCCCGUGACCCAGCCCCCCACCCCUGGUUUAUCCCGUGACCCACCCCCGGGUCAUCCUGUGACCCAGACCCCACCCCUGGUUUAUCCCGUGACCCACCCUCGGGUCAUCCCGUGACCCAGACCCCACGCCUGGUUUAUCCCGUGACCCACCCGCAGCACCAGCACCUCAGUGCUGCUUUUGUAUUUAUAGUCGCCUUGCUGUAUGUUGAGCGUAAUUUUACAAUCUGCCCAAAAUUCCUUUGAAGAGCAGAUAGGUGUGUACACCCUAAAUGAAUAAAAUACAGUGCGAUUUGGUGAAAGGUAA